AGUGAACGCUGGCGGUAGGCCUAACACAUGCAAGUCGAACGGCAGCACAGUAAGAGCUUGCUCUUACGGGUGGCGAGUGGCGGACGGGUGAGGAAUACAUCGGAAUCUACUUUUUCGUGGGGGAUAACGUAGGGAAACUUACGCUAAUACCGCAUACGACCUACGGGUGAAAGCAGGGGAUCUUCGGACCUUGCGCGAUUGAAUGAGCCGAUGUCGGAUUAGCUAGUUGGCGGGGUAAAGGCCCACCAAGGCGACGAUCCGUAGCUGGUCUGAGAGGAUGAUCAGCCACACUGGAACUGAGACACGGUCCCGGCUCCUACGGGAGGCAGCAGUGGGGAAUAUUGGGACAUGGGCGCAAGCCUGAUCCAGCCAUACCGGGUGGGUGAAGAAGGCCUUCGGGUUUUAAAGCCCUUUUGUUGGGAAAGAAAAGCAGCAGGUUAAUACCCCGCUGUUCUGACGGUACCCAAAGAAUAAGCACCGGCUAACUUCGUG
rnacentral:rRNA from 1 species